rnacentral:lncRNA from 1 species
AGUAAAUUGAAUAUGCUUGCAACUAAAGGAUGCGUGGAUAAGAGUUAAGCAAGCAAUUUAUCUAAGUAAGUAAGUGAGCAAGUUAGACAAUGACAAAAAGCAUCACAAACACAACAAACAUAUAGUGGUUCGGUGCACCCCAGCACCUACAUCCACUCCCCAAGACCUCUUGAAAAUUUUACUAUAAUCCUUCAGAUUACAGCCGGUUGUUUUACAAGCUCACAACCCAACUUAUUGUUUUGCGAGAUCACAACGAACUCGGUCGGUUUUCACAGGCUCACCGACUAGAACCAACCGAUUGUUUUUCUGGGUUCACAAUCAAACCCAGUUGGUUUUCCCAAAGGCUCACCAACCACAACCUUACAACGAUU